UUAUCUAUCAUAUAAGAAAAGUCUACCAUUUGGGACUUUCUUAGACUAUCCACAUCAGCAACUCUUCUAUGGUUGAUCCACAUCAGCCUCCUCAAAACAGCCUCAAUCGUUCUUCAAUUUCCACUCUCUUCAUCGUAACUGUCCUUCAACCGUUCUCUUCCAAAUUCUCAAAACGGUUCUCAAAUCAUUUUUCCUCAUAACUGCCCUUCAACCAUCCUCUUCCAAAUUCUCAAACCGUUUACAAUCCACAAUCCAUUGCGUAUCUGUUUUUUAUGGCAGAUUCUCCGCUCUCCUAUUUUUCUCUUUCUCACUAACAAUUCUGAUUCUCGAUCCUGAUAUUUUGCUUCCUUCCAUUGCUUGCGCUUCCGCUGCUUCCUCCAAAGGCGUCGAGGUUUUUUUACUUUCUUUCUUCUUCUUUGAUUUCAUCUUCCUGUAUGGUGUCUGCGGCUGCGUCGAUCUUGGCCGGAAGGAUGAUGCUCGCGGUGAUUGGUUUCGCUUUCUCACGACCCUUCAGAGUUGUCGGGUUUAAUUAAACGGUGAGUGGUUAUGUGAACAAUGGGGUUGUGAUUCAAAUCUUACUGAUGUACGUUUUUUAUUUUCAAUAGGUUCUCGAUGUCAAUACAGAAGCUUGAUCUGCAGACAAAUCAUGAUACAUAACGUAUCCAACCCAAAACGCGAAAGAGAUUUGAAGAAAAUACCGGUCUGUUAUGGGAGCACAAAAUCGAGAUUUAAUUAAAAAUCAUAGUGAAAAUAUCAACCACAAAAUACAGCAAGAAUCAAUCAGAUGCACAAUUCAAUUUUAUUUAGAUUCAAACACAAUAAAGCAGAGCAACAAUAAUUCGAGUGAAUUUUACAGGGAAGGGUUCAAAAUAACUCAAUACGAAAUUGGAAUUUCAUCACAAUAAAGAUGAAACUCUCAAUUAGCAGAGGUUGCCCUUAGUGAGGGUAUGCACUUAGCUUCUGCUGGUACGUUCGGGUUGUCUUCUUUGUGUAUGCACUUAGCUUCUGUAGGUACGUUCGAGUUGUCUAUUUUAUGUCCCCGGAGCGUAACACUUGCAGUCACAGGACUUUUUAUAGUGCAAUGUGAUUAGGGUUAGGGAUGGUGAGACCGUGGCAUUAAGUUUGAAUUCUUGACUUUUCUUUUAACUCCCAA